rnacentral:rRNA from 1 species
GACGAACGCUGGCGGCGUGCUUAACACAUGCAAGUCGAACGGAAAGGCCCCUUCGGGGGUACGCGAGUGGCGAACGGGUGAGUAACACGGUAGUAACCUGCCCUUGACUUCGGGAUAACUUAAGGAAACUGGGGCGAAUACCGGAUAGGAAUCCUUGCUGCAUGGGGGGGGUUGGAAAGCUUCGGCGGUUUUGGGUGGACUCGCGGCGUAUCAGCUUGUUGGUGGGGUAGUGGCUUACCAAGGCUUUGACGGGUAGCCGGCCUGAGAGGGCGACCGGCCACCUUGGGACUGAGGUACGGCCCAGAUGCCUACGGGAGGCAGCAGGGGGGAAUAUUGCACCAUGGGCGGAAGGCGGAUGCAGCAACGCCGCGGGCGGGAUGACGGCCUUCGGGUUGAAAACCGCGUUCAGCAGGGGCGAAGCUUGUGGUGACGGUACCUGCAGAAGAAGCACCGGCUAACUACGUG